rnacentral:tRNA from 1 species
GGUUGCGUGGCCGAGUGGUCUAAGGCGCUAGAUUUAGGACCCUAGCCAGCUGAUCAACGACCGCUGGUGGGAAGGUCUCUAGUCCGUGAGGGCGCAGGUUCGAACCCUGCCGCAGCCA